GCUAAUGUCCGACAUUAACGUCAAACAAACAAACGCCCAAACACUCGACGGGAUCCACGCCGUUUACCGCCAAAAAGCUUUUUGGCCCGAGUUCGACACAUCAUCCACAAAAUCCCACCAGGAGUUUGAAACCCAUCUGUAAAGCAGCUUACAAAAGCAGGUGUGUUUCAUUGGGUGAUGUCCUUCAUGGUUUACCCCCGUGAUGAGGCUUUAGAGUGGAUGAUGCAGGAUGAAAUCGUGCUGACUACAACACUAAAUUGGUGAUCGAUUUGGAGACGCUGCGAGGGGAACAUGCUCAACUCCUCAUAACCAUUCUGGACUGCAGUCAACCAGCCGGAGCGCAGGAGAAAUCCACACUGCUGCUGAAGGACCUGGAGGAGGACAUUGAACUGGGCCUGGGAAAAGCACAGCGGAAACAGGAGCACAGGAGGAAUCCAGACUGCUGCUGGAGGACCUGGAGGAGGACAUUGAGCUGGGCCUGGGAGAAGCACAGCGGAAACAGGAGCACAGGAGGAGUCCAGACUGCUGCUGGAGGACCUGGAGGAGGACAUUGAGCUCGGCCUGGGAGAAGCACAGCGGGAACAGGAGCACAGGAGGAGUCCAGACUGCUGCUGGAGGACCUGGAGGAGGACAUUGAGCUGGGCCUGGGAG
rnacentral:lncRNA from 1 species